rnacentral:rRNA from 1 species
GAUGAACGCUGGCGGCGUGCCUAAUACAUGCAAGUCGAGCGAACAGAUAAGGAGCUUGCUCCUUUGACGUUAGCGGCGGACGGGUGAGUAACACGUGGGUAACCUACCUAUAAGACUGGAAUAACUCCGGGAAACCGGGGCUAAUGCCGGAUAACAUUUAGAACCGCAUGGUUCUAAAGUGAAAGAUGGUUUUGCUAUCACUUAUAGAUGGACCCGCGCCGUAUUAGCUAGUUGGUAAGGUAACGGCUUACCAAGGCAACGAUACGUAGCCGACCUGAGAGGGUGAUCGGCCACACUGGAACUGAGACACGGUCCAGACUCCUACGGGAGGCAGCAGUAGGGAAUCUUCCGCAAUGGGCGAAAGCCUGACGGAGCAACGCGGCGUGAGUGAUGAAGGCCUUCGGAUCGUAAAACUCUGUUAUUAGGGAAGAACAAAUGUGUAAGUAACUGUGCACGUCUUGACGGUACCUAAUCAGAAAGCCACGGCUAACUACGU